CUGCAUUUGAGAUUCUUUCCUUAAGCUGUUUCUAGAAAUAGAAUGACUGGGUCCGAGGGUAUCAGCAUCUAAAAAUGUUCCUCCCUGGAGUCACCCUGUUGUGCAACUACUUUCACACUCGGUAUGUGACCCUGUGCCUCCUUUCAGUUUUACCAGUUCUUAGUAGUCUUUUUUAAGAAAAUAGCAGAUCUUUAUAUCAAGAGAAUUUCUUUCAGUUCUGCUGUGCUUAUCUUGCCUUGGGAGAUGAAGAGAGAAAGCAAAUGUUGAUGAUGUUUACCUGCUUUCGUAAGGAGGAAAAAGAACGGUUUACCAACUGCCCCUCCUGAGACCUGACGGAAACGAUGGUAAAAGUACUAGAAGGUCUAAUAACAGCGAAUGAUGAGAGUGGCUCGUGCUCGUGGUCUUUGCUCUGCACCAGUAGUUGCUCUAAGGCUUUAAAAAUGAUAACUCGUAUCAUUCCAGUGACCUUGAGGCGUGAACCCCUGUAAUCCCACUUCGAGGUAAGGAAGCUGAAGCACAGAUGUUGCCUGACUUGCCCAAGGUCAGAAAUCUUGGAGUUCCCACUGUGGCUCAGCAGGUUAAGGACCCGAUUAGUAUCCAAGAGGAUGGGGGUUCGAUCCCUGGCCUUGCUCAGUGGGUUAAGGAUUCGGCCUUGCCACAAGCUGUGGGGUAGGUCACAGAUGCAGCUUGGAUCCUGUACGGCUGUGGCUGUGGUGGAGGCUGGCAGCUGCAGCUCUGAUUCGACUGCUAGCUGGGAACUCCCCAUCUGCCACAGGCAUAACCCGAAAAAGAAAAAAAAGAAGAAAGAGGAGGGGAGGGGGAGAGGAGGGGGGAGGGGAGGAGGAGAAAGAGCUCUUGUCCGUGGUUGACUGGUUUCCAACACACUCACCAGGCUCAAGAACAUACACCCUGCCUCUCCUCACUCUGCUCCUAAUAAAAAAUGGGAAUGAGGGCAACAGAGCCCAGAGUAUCCAACAAAAGUUUGAAGACUACUUGGAUGGAGAAGCGACAGCUGAAUUAAGAGGGGUGGAAGGAGAGAGACAGUCAGAGAGAGAGGGUGGACAGGCAAGAAGAACGUUCUGCCAGACAGAGUCCCAGAGAGAGAGCAGAUGAGAAGGAGGCAGAGGGGAAAACAGGGGAUAAGUUCACCAACCCCGCAUCCCGUCCCUUUUUCACUUACAUCCACACCGGGGGCGGGGGUGGGGUGGGUGGGGCUGAUAUCACAACUGAGAGACUCCAUGGAGUUCCCAUCGUGGCACAGCAGAAACAAAUCCGACUAGGAACCAUGAGGAUGUGGGUUCCAUCCCUGGCCUCGCUCAGUGGGUUAAGGAGCCGGUGUUGCUGCCAGCUGUGGUGUAGGUCACAGAUGUGGCUCAGAUCUGAGGUGGCUGUGGCUGUGCCUGUGACCUUCAGCUGUAGCUCCAAUUGGACCCCUAGCCUGGGAAUCUCCAGAUGCCGCCAGUGUGGCCCUAAAAAGCAAAAACAAAACAAAACAAAACAAAAAAA
rnacentral:lncRNA from 1 species